rnacentral:rRNA from 1 species
UACGUAGGGUGCAAGCGUUAAUCGGAAUUACUGGGCGUAAAGCGUGCGCAGGCGGCUAUGCAAGACAGGUGUGAAAUCCCCGGGCUCAACCUGGGAACUGCAUUUGUGACUGCAUGGCUAGAGUACGGUAGAGGGGGAUGGAAUUCCGCGUGUAGCAGUGAAAUGCGUAGAUAUGCGGAGGAACACCGAUGGCGAAGGCAAUCCCCUGGACCUGUACUGACGCUCAUGCACGAAAGCGUGGGGAGCAAACAGG